rnacentral:SRP_RNA from 1 species
ACCGGGCAUGGUGGCGCAUGCCUGUAAUCCCAGCUACUUGGGAGGUUGAGGCAGGAGAAUCACUUGAACUCGGGAGGCGGAGGUUGCAGUGAGCCGAGAUCGGGCCAGCUGCAUUCCGGCCUGAGUGACAGAGCGAGACUCCGUCUCAG